UGUAUUCCCUAAUUAACUUUCUUUUUAUUCUCCGUAAAAAAAGUUUAUUUCUUAUUUUUUUUAGUGAAGCAAUCAAAUCAAAUCUUUAAGUUAAAAAGCCAAAAAAACCUACCUCGCCUCCAUUUUUGCGUCUCCUUCCUUCUCCAUAUCCUUUGAUCUACUUCCCAUCACUGCUUAUCUCUCUCUGCUUCUUCUAUUUCAAACAAAUCGAACACUGCAACACACCGCGACGGUCGUUCCGAAGAUGAAUCUUAACUACAUCGCGAGAAGCUCUUCGAAUACGGUGAGAAAUUCAAUAGUUCCAAGAACAAAUCUCAGAUCUUUAGGGAUUUGUGUGUGUUGUUGUGAAGAAACACCUGCUUACUUGAUCUUCUACGUUACACAAGAAAGUUUUUUGCCAACUAAUGAACUCUUUUUGCACAGACCAAGAGAGGCUUUGUGUUUGCUGUCAAGGAGUCCAUUGUUUAGUUCAUUUUGGGGAAAUUUUGGUGUUUGAUUUGGUGCUAAAAGCUUCUUCCAAGACUAUAAGGGUACUGAAGUUGUGGCAAUUAUAUAUGUAGAUUAUUAUUCAAAUAUCAAUCUGAAUGAAGCUAUUGAUUUGUUAAGGUUUUACAUUGGAGCAAUACGGUGAAAAGGGAUUACGAUCAAAGAAGGCAUGUUAUAGGUGCUUCUUCAUAUGAUUAUGCAGCCAAGAUAGUGGGGGUAUUGAAUGGAAAUUUUUACUUUUUUACACUAAGAUUGUCCAAUUUUAGUUGUAUUUAUGGUUGAGUAAAUAGUGUCUUAACUUGUAUCUGAGAAGUCAUUGGAGCGGUAACCAUGACUUUAGGUUUUUUAUAGUAGUGGUACAUGUUGCUACUUUUUAGUACCCAUAGAAAGGAUGUACUCCACUGUUCAUUUAUGUAAAACUGCAAUCAUUUGAAUAAAGGAGUUCAUGUAUUUGCCUCA